GCUGGAGAUGCUCUUACGCCCAUCUCGCCUCUCCUUCUCACGCCGUCGCUGCUGCUGUCCAGUACAGAUCACUUCUGCUACUGAUUGGCGCCGCCACUGCACAACCGGAUCCCAUCCGGCUCUCCUUCUUUCCAACAUCCAUCGAUGCAUCGUUGCUCUGCCCCCGCGCGCGGCCGCCCGGCUAACCCUAGCCGCCUCUAUCUCUGAUGAUGACCCCGACGCCGGUGCCUCACCGUUACCCUCCCCGGCGCUCUCCCUGUUUGGCUCCCGAAAUCCUUCUGCCUCGCCGUCACUGACGUCGAUGAUGACGCCUCCCUGAGCCUCGACAGUUAGCCCUUUAAAUAGCAAGUGGGGUGUGUGUGUUGCAUCUGAUGUGCACGAGCUCAACCUGGCGAGCUCCUGGGAGAAGAAAAAACGGAGCCACAACAGCCCUGGCGAGCUCGAGACGACGAAGGUGCCACAAGUGGUGUGGGAGAGGAGAUGGUCUCCAUCCGAGGUCUGAGGACCAGCCAUGACGUCGAGCUGCUGCAGCGCGGAGUCAGAAACAGAUAGCAGCUCUCCGAUGUAGUAAGGACAAACCAAGAAUGACAGAGCAUCCUCAUGUCAAACUCAACACACCCUGGCACUUCUCCAUUGUUUGAUUCAGAAACAGGCAGAAACAACUGCUAUCUCCGAAUUUAUUUAAGGUUGUUUCUCUUAUCUCUAUUCUGAUGUACAUGCAUCUUCCCUUUCUAUUUUCCCUACAUAUAUGUGCUACAACCAUGCCAUUUUUGUCCUGUAAAUGUCCUACAGAUAUGUGCAGCAAAGUAGUCUUCAUGUGCGAGGAGCAAAGAAGAUAUGAUGCUAUGCAAUCAUGCUCCAUGUUAGUUGGAAGUUCAAUCUCAGCUUGAUUACCGCUCUUUAAGCAAAAUUAUUAGUAACAAACAGAUCUUAUCCUAGAUGAUUCUUGCUUAAAUGAUUUUAGAAGCACGGCUACCAGUAUGUGCACUUAAUAAAAUGCAAGUCCGAAUGCAGAUGCUGAAAAUAGUUUGGAAAUUAUACAUUAUUCAAUCUCCCAGUUUGUGAUUUGCUUUUUGUUUAUGUUGUCCAGAAAUGUACAAACGAGUGGCAUGUGUCAUCUAUAGCAUGCCCCCUUUGUCUGAAUGUUCAACCAGAAGAGUUUCAUCUCAUUUGGCAAGGAGCACUGCAAUA